GCGCAUCCUUAGUAAACCCCCUAGUUGCUCCAUCGUAGCCUCUGGGACAAGGAAGGAUGCUAGAUCAAACUGAGAUCCAAAGCUGAGAGUCUUGUCCGUGUCUCUUGGUUAUUUCAGCUCUGGACAGUC